rnacentral:rRNA from 1 species
CACUAUGCUCAGCCCUAAAAUUUGAUAGGUCCUUACACACCUAUCCGCCUGGGAACUACGAGCAUCAGCUUAAAACCCAAAGGACUUGGCGGUGCUUCAUAUCCGUCUAGAGGAGCCUGUUCUAUAACCGAUAACCCCCGUUAAACCUCACCCUCUCUUGUCAAUACCGCCUAUAUACCGCCGUCGUCAGCCCACCCUGUGAGGGACCAGAAGUGAGCGAGAUUGGUAAAACCCAAAACGUCAGGUCGAGGUGUAGCGUAUGAGAGGGGAAGAAAUGGGCUACAUUUCCUAAUUUAGGAAAUACGAACAAUGUACUGAAAUAAACAUUAGAAGGUGGAUUUAGCAGUAAGCAGAUAAACAGAGAGUUCUGCUGAAGAUUUACGGCACUAAAGCACGCACAUAUCGCCCGUCACUCUCCCCGAACCUGCACAAAUGAACUUUACCUAAAAAGCUAUGCUUUCAAAGGGGAGGCAAGUCGUAA